rnacentral:rRNA from 1 species
UUACCAUGCGGGCAACCGUGAUAAGGAACCCGAGUGCCAGCACAGGCUGGCUGUCCGCCAGUUUAAAUAACUGGUGAAGAAAGGGCCGGGCAAGACCGGUGCCAGCCGCCGCGGUAAUACCGGCGGCUCGAGUGGUGGCCGCUAUUACUGGGCUUAAAGGGUCCGUAGCUUGAUAACUGGGUCCCUUGAGAAAUCCGCCAGCUUAACUGGCGGGCGUUCAGGGGGAAACUUGUUUCUAGGGACCGGGAGAGGUGAGGGGUACUGCCGGGGUAGGAGUGAAAUCUUGUAAUCCUUGAAGGACCACCAGUGGCGAAGGCGUCUCACCAGAACGGACCUGACGGCAAGGGACGAAGCUAGGGGCACGAACCGGAUUAGAUACCCCUGUA